ACGAACGCUGGCGGCGUGCUUAACACAUGCAAGUCGAGCGGUAAGGCCCUUUCGGGGGUACACGAGCGGCGAACGGGUGAGUAACACGUGGGUGACCUGCCCUCAGCUCUGGGAUAAGCCUGGGAAACCGGGUCUAAUACUGGAUAUGACUCCAUGACGCAUGUUGUGGGGUGGAAAGCCUUGUGCGGCUGAGGAUGGGCCCGCGGCCUAUCAGCUUGUUGGUGGGGUGAUGGCCUACCAAGGCGACGACGGGUAGCCGGCCUGAGAGGGCGACCGGCCACACUGGGACUGAGACACGGGCCCAGACUCCUACGGGAGGCAGCAGUGGGGAAUCUUGCGCAAUGGGCGAAAGCCUGACGCAGCGACGCCGCGUGAGGGAUGACGGCCUCGGGUGUAACCUCUUUCAGCUCCGACGAAGCGAGAGUGACGGUAGGAGCAGAAGAAGC
rnacentral:rRNA from 1 species